ACGGGUGAGUAACGCGUGGGAAUCUACCGUACCCUACGGAAUAGCUCUGGGAAACUGGAAGUAAUACCGUAUACGCCCUAACGGGGAAAGAUUUAUCGGGGUAUGAUGAGCCCGCGUUGGAUUAGCUAGUUGGUGGGGUAAAGGCCUACCAAGGCGACGAUCCAUAGCUGGUCUGAGAGGAUGAUCAGCCACAUUGGGACUGAGACACGGCCCAAACUCCUACGGGAGGCAGCAGUGGGGAAUAUUGGACAAUGGGGCAACCCUGAUCCAGCCAUGCCGCGUGAGUGACGAAGGUCUUAGGAUUGUAAAGCUCUUUCAACGGUGAAGAUAAUGACGGUAACCGUAGAAGAAGCCCCGGCUAACUUCGUGCCAGCAGCCGCGGUAAUACGAAGGGGGCUAGCGUUGUUCGGAAUUACUGGGCGUAAAGCGCACGUAGGCGGGUAUUUAAGUCAGGGGUGAAAUCCCGCAGCUCAACUGCGGAACUGCCUUUGAUACUGGGUAUCUUGAGUAUGGAAGAGGUAAGUGGAAUUGCGAGUGUAGAGGUGAAAUUCGUAGA
rnacentral:rRNA from 1 species